rnacentral:rRNA from 1 species
UACGAAGGGUGCAAGCGUUACUCGGAAUUACUGGGCGUAAAGCGUGCGUAGGCGGUUUGUUAAGUCCGUUGUGAAAGCCCUGGGCUCAACCUGGGAAUUGCAGUGGAUACUGGCGAGCUAGAGUGCGGUAGAGGAUGGUGGAAUUCCCGGUGUAGCGGUGGAAUGCGUAGAGAUCGGGAAGAACACCCGUGGCGAAGGCGGCCAGCUGGGCCGGUUCUGACGCUGAGGCGCGAAAGCGUGGGGAGCAAACAGG